rnacentral:rRNA from 1 species
AUUGAACGCUGGCGGCAGGCUUAACACAUGCAAGUCGAGCGGUAGCACAGUGGAACUUGCUCCCUGGGUGACGAGCGACGGACGGGUGAGUAAUGUCUGGGAAACUGCCUGAUGGAGGGGGCUAACUACUGGGAACGGUAGCUAAUACCGCAUAACGUCGCAAGAUCAAAUAGGGGUGACUUCGGGCCUCUUGCCCUCAGAUGUGCCCAGAUGGGAUUAGCUAGUAGGUGGGGUAAUGGCUCACCUAGGCGACGAUCCCUAGCUGGUCUGAGAGGAUGACCAGCCACACUGGAACUGAGACACGGUCCAGACUCCUACGGGAGGCAGCAGUGGGGAAUAUUGCACAAUGGGCGCAAGCCUGAUGCAGCCAUGCCGCGUGUGUGAAGAAGGCCUUCGGGUUGUAAAGCACUUUCAGCGAGGAGGAAGGUGGUGAGCUUAAUACGUUCAUCAAUUGACGUUACUCGCAGAAGAAGCACCGGCUAACUCCGUG